UAUUUUAAAGAGAGUUUGAUCCUGGCUCAGGACGAACGCUGGCGGCGUGCCUAAUACAUGCAAGUCGAACGAACGGAGGAAGAGCUUGCUCUUCCAAAGUUAGUGGCGGACGGGUGAGUAACACGUGGGCAACCUGCCUGUAAGUUGGGGAUAACUCCGGGAAACCGGGGCUAAUACCGAAUGAUAGAAUGUGGCGCAUGCCACGCUUUUGAAAGAUGGUUUCGGCUAUCGCUUACAGAUGGGCCCGCGGUGCAUUAGCUAGUUGGUAGGGUAAUGGCCUACCAAGGCAACGAUGCAUAGCCGACCUGAGAGGG
rnacentral:rRNA from 1 species